GUUUUGUUAAGUAUUUUGUAGCCGCUGCUUCUGAGGUAUAUGUGUGCCAAUAGGAUGCAGUGUUUAUGAUUAUUGGAAUUGUCUACUUACGUUUGUAUUAUUCUGUUUCAUUUGUUCCCAGGGGGGAAGGGGAUGGCACCUUGGGAGUGCUUAGGCAAGAGCCCUGCGGGCAUACAUAUACCCAUAGUAUGUACUCUGUCUAUGCACACAAGGUUGCCUGUAGUGGUGAGAUAUGUACUGGCAGCAGACCACAGUGGAGAUCCUCCCAAACGAAUGAUCACUGAGACUGGGAUCAGGCUUGCCCUGAAAGAAAACAGCUCAGCUCUAGAGACUUCCAGUUGCUGUGAACAUCACCAGUAAUCCACAAGAAACAACACCAUCUGCCAGGCCCCAGAGGGCAGGAAACACAAAGAACACUGGCAGCUGGUCUGGGUGAGGCCUCCAGAACAACAGAGCCAGGAUACAGACACCAUCAUCAGCAAAGCACACCAUAAGUCUUUCACUGAAAG